UUACUAUUACAUUAAGAAAAAAAAAAUCAGCGUGUGGGUUAUUUUUGUUACAGUAGUUUGUGUUCAGCCAGUUCAUUGCAAAAUCCGAAACUUUGCAUCAAAUUGACGAUGUUCUCUCAAACGCAUUUACUCUGUUCGCGUCCUUUCAGCUUGAACGGGGUUUCAAUGGCCGCCACUUUACGUACCCCGUUUUCCGUUCGUGUCAGUAGCUCAGCCGCAUCGACGUGGGUCGCCGGCGAUGCGAUCCCAGAGCCGGUAAUCUCAGAACAGCAUAAACCCGAUUUUACGCUACCCUCGCAGACGUUGGUCGAGGCAGCUCCGGUCAUUGAAGUGGCAAAAAAUCUAGGGUUCCGACCCAACCCUGAAUUGGGGUUUCUAUCAUACUUGUUCGUCCUCUCCAUGGCUUUUGGUGCGUUUUUCUCAGUAGCUGUGGUUUCCAUUCCUACCUUAAUUGCUUUUGGAAGAUUAGGAGCUUCAGUAAAUAAAUUGGCAAAGGUUGUUUCGGAAGAGGUGCCUGGGACUUUAUCUUCUCUCAAACUUUCUAGUCUGGAGCUGAAUGAAUUAACCCAACAACUUGGUCUUCUCAGACAGUUAAGGCAUAAAACUGCUGGUGUUCCUAUGGGAACAAAGGACAUGAACACUGUCAGAUCAAAAUCCUCUAGCAAGAAGCACCCAACAUCCUAACAUUUCCAAAGACAUGUUGGGCUUUUAACUUUGAAGCUGAUGUUGCAAAUAAUGUGAAAGAAGCUCUCUGCUGGUUUCUCUGUUAUCCUGAGGAUUAGUAAUUUACGGGUAUUGACUAAAUAAGUUGGCGUAUUUGAGACUGGGAUGUUAUGUGAACCAUUUUUCAGUUUUGCAAACUUCUUUAAUGGAUCGGCAGCAUCUUUUGCAUUAACUGGGACAGGCAUAUUGGUUACUAGAGUUACUCUAGAAGAUGAGACCAAGGAUCUUCUUUGUGAGUCUGAAGGAUCAAUCUUCCAUAGUAGCACCUCCCAUACCUGUUACAGAUAAAACUGCUAUGACAUACAUUUCUCAUUUCUCAUAUUUGUAAGCCUUAGCAACGACAAAGUAAAUGAAGAGUCUCAUGAUAAUACCUAGCCAACAAAUAUUGACUCAUCACUGAGAUAGCAGAUUAGACCACCAUGGAAAAACUUGUACAAAAACAUUAUUCUCAUUUCAUCCCAAUCCAGUCAACUGGGAUCAUUGCGAUGAGGUUUGCCAUAUAGAUUCAACAAUUCAAAAUUUGUAACUGUUGUGGGAAGUGUGUUGGUGAUUUUAUUUGUGCUCACGUCUUUAAUUCUGGCAUUAGUUUACGUAACAUUUAAAUUUUUGAGAUAUGUUGUAUUAUUAUUAUUAUGGUUAUUAAUAUUAUUGUUAUAUUGCUUUAUUUUUUAUUUUAAUAGUUAAA